GACGAACGCUGGCGGCGUGCUUAACACAUGCAAGUCGAACGGAAAGGCCCUGCUUUUGUGGGGUGCUCGAGUGGCGAACGGGUGAGUAACACGUGAGUAACCUGCCCUUGACUUUGGGAUAACUUCAGGAAGCUGGGGCUAAUACCGGAUAGGAGCUCCUGCUGCAUGGUGGGGGUUGGAAAGUUUCGGCGGUUGGGGAUGGACUCGCGGCUUAUCAGCUUGUUGGUGGGGUAGUGGCUUACCAAGGCUUUGACGGGUAGCCGGCCUGAGAGGGUGACCGGCCACAUUGGGACUGAGAUACGGCCCAGACUCCUACGGGAGGCAGCAGUGGGAAAUAUUGCACAAUGGGCGGAAGCCUGAUGCAGCAACGCCGCGUGCGGGAUGACGGCCUUCGGGUUGUAAACCGCUUUCGCCUGUGACGAAGCGUGAGUGACGGUAAUGGGUAAAGAAGCACCGGCUAACUACGUG
rnacentral:rRNA from 1 species